GUAACUUCUCCUAUUUAUACCUCAAUCCAUCAUCCUCAAUUCAUCAUCCCCAAUUCGUUUUCCUCAUUUGUUUUCUUACACCAACUUCUCGUCUGUUCAUUUUCGCUCAAGUGGUGCGGCGCGACUAGGACAUAACUGUUGAUCUGAAAUUAUUCAAGUUAUCUAUCAAAUCCAUAUUUUCAGGUGUGGGAUUUAUUUCAGUACAUGCACGUGGUUAAUAUUUGUCCAUUUUAAUAUUAUGUGUUUACCGUAUGUGUUGUAAAAAUAUUUAUCGCUAGGGGCCAGCAUAAUUGGUCCAGGACUUCACCGUCCUUGGUAUGCCACAAAGCGAUUUCAUGUUACAGGGUUGCAACCAUUAUAUUGUCGCCAGGGGCCCACAUAUAGGGUCCGGGACAUUAAAGUCCUUGGAUUGCCACAGUGCGUAUGGAAGUUAUGUUACGUUAUGACAAUAUGUGUUACCAUUUUAUUAACAUGGACAAUUAUUGCAUGUUCCCACACUGAGUGUACCCUGUAUGCUCAUCCCAUAUUCAACAGUUUCAGGUGAUUGAUAUCGGAGGCGCGUGGAGAGUCGAAUGGGCGCGUCGAAUCUAUUUAAAGAUAAAUGUUUCCUAAAACAUAUUAUGUUAUUUCAUGUGAUAUCUCUUGAUUAUGUAAACUCUGAAAUUCUAUACUAUUUGAGAUUUGUGUGUGAUUUGUUUAAAUAAAUGUUAUUAUAUUAUUUUAAUGUCAUGACUUGUUUAAUUUAUAUUUAAAUUCAUUUCAAAUAUUUAUUUAAGAAUUUAUAUCUUUACGAAAAUAUAUACAUGGAUACAUACAUAAUUUUUAAUCAUAUAAAGAUUUUAUUUUGUUAUAUUUUCCGCUGCUAAAAAGAUAUUAUUUUAUACUUAGAGUUUUUCCUUAGUAAAAGUUUUAUUAAUUAGUUAAUUAUUUUUCUGACAUCUUCAUGUCGUGCUUUGAAAAUAAAGUUGUUUAAAUUUAUGAAUUCAAAAUCAAGUUUUAUAUUUGAAUACAUUAUUGAAAAUUUUGAUAUCUUAUAAAUCGUUUUAAAAGUGCUUUAAAAACCAAUUUUAUUUAAAUGAUUUCUUUUUCUUAAAAUUAUUUUCGAAAAUAUUUAUUUUAAAAGUGAGUUUUAAAUUAUUUUAAGACUUCCGCAUUAAAUAUUUAUUUAAAUUUUAUAUUUAACUUCUUAAUUAGAUUAGGGUGUUACAGAGUACAAAAGCACUCAGUGAUCUUAUGCCGAAAACAUCUCAUGCUUAUAAAGCUAUAUAUAUUGUCAUUGCCAUUUCAUAUGCAUAAUACAAUAAAUUUGUAGAAAGACCCUGUGUUAGCUAAACUCAUUUUCAUUUCCUCAAAGUUGUUUGCGCAGACUUUCUCAUCAAGUAAGUAUCAUAUCUGUUAUAACAUCAAGUACUGAGAGGGAGGCCUCCCUCUGCAACACUGUGACCGGCCAACCUGAAAGAUGACUCACGACCACCUCAGUGUACACAAAUCCUUACUAGUAUCUACACUAGCAUAGGACCGAAUUCUUCAUCUCAAGCAGAUAGAUAACAUACCAAAACAUCAAAUAUUUGGCAAUGCAAUAACUUCAAAAUAUAUUUUCAGUUCAAGCUUUGAAAGGAAAAUAAAACAUCAAUGCAUUUAAUAUCCA